GAUCAUGGCUCAGGAUGAACGCUAGCUACAGGCUUAACACAUGCAAGUCGAGGGGCAGCAUUUUAGUUUGCUUGCAAACUAAAGAUGGCGACCGGCGCACGGGUGAGUAACACGUAUCCAACCUGCCGAUAACUCAGGGAUAGCCUUUCGAAAGAAAGAUUAAUACCUGAUGGCAUAGGAUUAUCGCAUGAUAAUCCUAUUAAAGAAUUUCGGUUUAUCGAUGGGGAGUGCGUUCCU
rnacentral:rRNA from 1 species